AUAUCAAUAAGCGGAGGAAAAGAAACUAACAAGGAUUCCCCUAGUAACUGCGAGUGAAGCGGGAAAAGCUCAAAUUUAAAAUCUGGCGGUCUUUGGCCGUCCGAGUUGUAGUCUGGAGAAGUGCUUUCCGCGCUGGACCGUGUAUAAGUCUCUUGGAACAGAGCGUCAUAGAGGGUGAGAAUCCCGUCUUUGACACGGACUACCAGUGCUUUGUGAUGCGCUCUCAAAGAGUCGAGUUGUUUGGGAAUGCAGCUCAAAAUGGGUGGUAAAUUCCAUCUAAAGCUAAAUAUUGGCGAGAGACCGAUAGCGAACAAGUACCGUGAGGGAAAGAUGAAAAGCACUUUGGAAAGAGAGUUAAACAGUACGUGAAAUUGCUGAAAGGGAAACACUUGAAGUCAGUCGCGUUGGCCGGAACUCAGCCUUGCUUUCGCUUGGUGCACUUUCCGGUUGACGGGCCAGCAUCGAUUUCGACCGGCGGAAAAGGGUUGGAGAAAUGUGGCACCCUCGGGUGUGUUAUAGUCUCUAGUCGCAUACGUCGGUCGGGAUCGAGGAUCGCAGCGCGCCGCAAGGCAGG
rnacentral:rRNA from 1 species